rnacentral:lncRNA from 1 species
UGCGGAUGUUAGACUAACUUAAAUUAGUUCGUGUUGUUUAUUCUUUAGUUUUCUAUGUUGUGUCAUGUGUACUAUUGUUUGUCUGUUUGACCUUUUCAUUUUUAGCCAUGGUGUUGUCAGUUUAUGUUCGAUUUAUGAGAUUGACUGUCCCUCUGGUAUCUUUCGUCCCUCUCUUUUAAGUGACAUGAUUGAUGUCAGACUAACAUUAGUGGACAUGUAAGAUGCCAGCAUACAUUUGUGGACAUAUCUCAUGUUAGACGAACAUUAGUGAACAUGUCUGAUGUCAAACUAACAUUUUUGGACAUAUCUG